CUCCCCUCGGCUCCCGGCUGCCCUUUCCCCUGCGGCCUCUAUCUGAGCUGCAGUGUCCCCGCCGAGCUCCGGACACGUGCGGAGGUGCCAGCUGUGUACUUUGGGCAGAUGCAGCCCCAGGAUGACUUGAAAGUAGGGCAUCCUUGGCCCUCCUGAAGAGAGAUUAGUGACAGGUGGACAGUUGUGCAUGGAGCUACCAGACGCCUUCACCUGAGUGAGAAAUCUUCAAUCCAUUGGGACCUCAGAUGUCUAGACUGCCCUUUGUGACACCAAGAUAAGUAAUGGAUGAAAGAAACUACUGUUGUGGAACUUUUGCACUGAAAUUUUGGAUCAUGUCUCAGAUUUUAAUCAGGAAAACAAAAUUCCAGAGAUAAAUUCUGCAGGCCCCAAAAGGACACAAAAAAGUGGCUCAGUGUCUAGGAACCCACGCAAAAGAGAAAACAACCUGGCUUGGCUAGGCCUAUAGCCAUCUGGAAGCUUCACUUUGGUUGGCAGAUGCCACUGGCUGUCACCUGGGAGCUCAGCUGGGGCUGCUGACUGAAGCACCUUGGUUCUUUUGAUAUGGCCUUUUCACAUUGGGUGGGAUUCUCACAGCAUGUCAGUUGGGUUCCAAGAAGAUACAAGCAGAUCUUAGAAGUUACUUCUGUGUUCCAUUGGUAAAAGCCAAUUACAGGGCCCUUCCAGAUGGCAGGUAAAGUGGAAACUGGUUCCACUAUUCCAUAAAUAUGGGAAAGAAUUUGUGACAAUCUUUAAUUCACAAUCACGUAUGUACAAAAUGUUUAUAUAUUUAUAGGAAAUCCUUAAAGUACACAAGAAAUGGUUGAUAGUGGUUGCCUUUAUGUAAGGGAAUAGUGGUUGGGAAGUAAUUUUUGUUCUUUGAAUUUGAUUAUAUGUAUUCCUAUUCAAAACCUCCUUUUUAAGCCCACUUCUGCUCUCUUGCCACUGUUAGAAGAGCCACUGGUUGAUAGUUUUCUGUAUUUUAGUACUGUGAAGUAUUGAAAUGACCUGGUUCUGGGACUUAAAUCUAUUAAAAUAGUAGAUGGGUAGACUACCAGGGGAUUCUGAGACCACAGCUUUGCUGAAGGCAGGCCAAUAUAAUGCACAAAAGCUCUGGAUUUGGAUUUAUAUAGAACUGAAUUCAAAUCCUGCCAUUGUCACUAAUUACAUGACCUUAGGCAAGCUGCUUAAUCUCUUAUGUAAAACAAGAAUAAUAGUACUUUACUCUCAAUUAUAAUGCAGCUGAUAAGCUGCUUGGUGAUUAUGGUGUAUCAAAAUAUAUGUCCUCAAUCAAUAUAACUCUGCUCUAAAAAGUAUUCAUUAUCAGCUCAAAUCUAGACUCUAUCCUGUUGUCUUACACCAAACUUGUCAUUUAGACCUUUCAAAGUCUCAGCACAAGUUUUGCUUUGUAGCCUCAUUACCAUCCCUGGUGUACCACACCCACUCCCAAGAAACCGAAAUGUGAAUAGAGCUAUUGAUCCAUCUCUGCUCAUAGCCAGGUCCAACUUGAGGCCAAACUCCUUGUCUGUUUAUCAGACCGGGAUCCUCAAGAGCUGGCAAUUUGUCUUACCCAUUAUUGUAUCCCCUCCCUUGUAUUGUGUCCUUCGUGAAAUAGGCAUUUGAUGACUGAAAUCUUGCAUAAAAACUUCUGUUUCCAGUGUGUCUUUUUGCUGUUGAGCCACUAAGCAGAUCUUUAAUAAAUAAUUACUUAAUUGAAAAA